rnacentral:lncRNA from 1 species
GGCUUCCACGCAUGUGCCGAGUUGUACUAUAAAAGGACAAAUCUUUUAUCUCUCAUGAAUACGUAAUUCUGUCUGUCUCUACUCAUUUUCUCUCUCUAAAACAAGAGUUAAGAACUCCUCUCUUGCUUUCUCUCUCUCCUAUUUUUCAGUCACUGACUUGAUUAUUGGCGAGUCAUCCCCGAAAUAGCUCGGACAGUCUUUCUUACUAUUUCUCUCUUGCAGGUCAACCAUCUAUUUAUUAGUUACGAGACAGAAACACUUCUAGCCACCCCGGACGGUUUAGUUUUCCAUCCUACGUGGGCGUCUAUGGAAAUUAUUAAAAAAAAUACAAGGACUUGAAUCGUUCAAUCAUUGCCGUCUUUUGACUGCUGGUUAGUUGUAUCCCAUGGUACGAGUAUCAGUUGGCGUUAAGGAAAAAAUUUAGCACACACUCUAAUAAAAAAGUUACAUUUGCAUGAAACAUUACGAUCUCUUGUGAUAAAAAAAUAAGUUAUAAUUUAUUUUAUUAUAAUUUGUUGUGGUGAAUAUUUAUCUUAUUGGGAUAAGAUUAUUCCGAAGCGGAUUAUAUGCAUCAUGUUGUGUAAAGUAGUUGUAGCCGUUCUCUUAUUGUUAUUACAUAAUUUUAAAAUUUUGAUAAAACAUUAUAUAUUAUAUAAUGGUAAUUAAUAGAGUAAAUGGCUAUGUAUUGUUCUUCACAAAAUAGUAGAUUUUAGCUAAUUUGUCCCAAAAGCAACAUUGAAAAAAAAAAUAUAAGGAAAUUACUUGACCAAAGAACCACUUUCAUGUUUAUUUUUCGUCUAAAGAAUGUUUUCCCAUGCAUUAAUGGCUCCAUUCCGGUACCAGCUUUCGGUUGAUUUUUUAAGCUUAUAAGUAAAAAAAGCAGUUCAGAAUUGAAUUUUUUCUUUUUAUUGUUUAACUAAAAGUGUAAAAAGACAGAAAAAACAAUUUUAAAACAAAAAAAAAACUUAAUUUUUUUAAUAAUAAAUUGUAAAAAGUUUUACUUUUUAAACAUUACCAAACGGAGCUAGUUACUUCAUGAUGAUAAGGCUUUUUAUUUUUGUGUAUGACCAACUGUGGCAGCCUUGCCUUGCCUGCCUCUUCUCAAAAGUACUUUUUUUGGUUCGCAUUUUAGCUUUUUGUUAUUUCGCCAUUUUCACUUUCACAUAGAAGUACUGUACAGACAAAUGGAAAAAAAAAAAACAAAGGUAAAUGAGGUAAAUAAUUCUUAUAGUAGUCAUCUUGUAUUACUUGGGUCUCUUUAAUUAAUUUUCUCAAUUGCAUGAUCAAUGUUUUCAAUGAAUUAUUGAUUCUUUACUAGUACCCAAAAUAAUUUCUUCAAACUAUUUAUUAUAAAAAGGGUCUUUAAGAAUUUUCUAGUCUUUGCUAUCGAUCAAGGAUCCAUACAUUAUGGAAGAACACAUAGGUAAUUAUUCGAGUUUGAUUUCAAUAAUGAUAGAAAAGGCCCGAAAAAACUAAAGACAUUUUUUUAUAAUAAAUUAAAUUAGAAAGUUAAAUUACUGUUUGUAAUUAGUAAUUAGUAAAGAACCACUUAAAAAACUCAAACUCAAACAUUUUAAGAAAUAUAUAGAAAAUUAGUAUAGAGGGAUCAAAGUAACAUAGAUAAAAACUUUAUGGACCUAUUAGCUUAAUUUAUCUGUAAUUAAAAAAAAAUGACUGAACAUAACAAACAGCCCUUCUAGUGGGAACGUUGGCGUUGGUCUUCAGAAAUUAUCAGUUGUCUUAGAGUAAUGCUUUAAUCUUAGAUAUGGUUUUAAACGUUAGAUUCAUUAUUUUUUAUCUAAAUUUUAACCAACAUAUACAGAUGUCAACAAAAGCUGCAAAAUUAUUGAGACUUCCAAAAAAUUUGAGUUUUAAUAACUCGGGUUCCAGGCCUGCAUACAUAAAUUUAAUGUCAAAAAAUUUCGGGCGUAUUUGAUUAAAUCGGAUUUUUAAAAAAUACAAUUACUAAUCUUUUAAACACCUUCCUCCUUCUCAUGCACCCUUCUCCAUCCCAUACUGAUCCGAUGGCAGCCAAUAGCGGGCGAUUGCAAUGGACUUUUUUAGUAAUAACGAACGAAAAUGAAAAUUAUACUUUUGAAUUUUAUAAAUAGAGAUUUUCGUUGUUCAAAAACAUAUAACACAAAACUUAAACUAUUUGAUACGCUAAAACAAAAGUUUCACUAUUAAUAGUAGAAAAAUUUAUAUAUUUGAUAUUUGUGAUGUUUAGAGAUAUGAUUAGAAUUAUCUAAUCAAUUGAGAUUGAAAGACUUAAAUAUGUCUAGCUUACAUCUAUUCUACAGUCCAUGUAUAUGGUUAUAUUCAUAACUAUAUAUUAAUCUUGAAUGCAUGACAUAAAUGGAGCCGACCACGUUAAACAUCUUCUGCUAUCUCUCUAUUAAUUAUUCUAUUUCUCUUAUACUAGUGAUUAUCACAAAUAAAAACAUAAUGCCUUAGUAGAUAAAAUCAAUCAGCAUAUUUUUUUAAAUAAAUUGUAACUGUCACAAUUUUGUUUCUUUUUAUGAAACCAAAGCACUUAAAAAUAAAAAAUAAAAAAUAUAAAAAUUCUCCAAAUUGAUUGUGUUAUAUUAUUGGUAAAUAAUUAAAAUUUUAAAAUAGAUUGAACUAAACAAUAGUUUUAUAAUUGAUGAGUCGAUUUGACCGUUGUUGUGCUUGGUUUAAUUCUAAUCUUAUUUCUCGCCCACAAGAAUGAGGCCUUUAAUUUAAAGUUAAAAUUUAAUUCCUGAGCUCAUCUUAAUUAGAGAACUCGAAAACGUAAAAAAAAAAAAACAAUAAUUUUUAACAGAAAAAAUUUAAAUCCAAUAGUAGUAAUAUCAGAAAUACUCCAAUUUUGAAUUAAUUUAGAUUUUAUUAACUUGUAAUUUCUUGUACAGUUCCGAUUUAAAAGAAAUUCUAGAGAUUAGGGGUGUGAAAGGUAUAAUAUACGAUAAAUUAUAUUUAUUUUUUUUAUUUUUUUAUUUUUCAGAUAACAAAUUAUUACUUAAGUUUAAUAUUCAAGUUGUCUAAUUUACACCUUUAACUUGAUAUUAUGGGUAAUUUAUAUUUGUGACAUUAUAUAUAGUCGAUGUUAAAUAUAGUUUUACUAUGGUAAUAUAAAUAAUUUCUUUUGGUUAAAAUCAAACCAUUAUGAACAAUGUAUUUAUUAUAUGAAAAAUAUAAUUUUUUUGUUUAAUUUUUAAAAACAAGUCAUAAAGACAAAAAAAAAAACAUGUUAAUUAUAUUGAAUAAAAAAUAUUUUACAUAUUAAUUUAGUAAAUAUUUUUCAAAUCAGACGAUGAUGUUAUAUUUUUAAAUUCUUCGGCUAGAAAACCAAAAAAAUAAAUAAAAUUCAAAUGGUUUUAAGAACUUUACUGAAGAUGAUUUUUUUAAAAAAUAAAAAAUAGAUUUUCCCCCAUGAUCGACGAGUUUAAUCAUCAUAUUUGCAAAAAUUGAGCAAACAUGAGCCACGCAUAUAACUUUUUUUUCCCAUAUUUCUCGUUAAACGCGAUCGUUAGUUAGUGAACUUUUUUCCAUAUGAAAUUUUUUAAGUUAGGCCCUUUUUGUCUAAGGAAUCGAAAAUGUAUGUAAUUCUAAUUAAACGACAGAAAUGAUCACUAAAAAUGUUAUUGGCUGAGGUUAGUGAGGACAAAAAAAUGAAAAGAGUUAGGAGCAUUCACCUUGGACCGUUAUAAAAUUCCUUGCUAACUUUCUACUUUUGUUUUUCUCUCAAAAUUUUUAUCCAAGCAAAAGCAAAAACUAAAAACAAACCAAAUAUCAAAAUAACUAUAUAAAACCCAAAACCAAAAUCCCCCAACAUGUUCAGGACUUUUACGGUCUAUUAUUUCUAGAAUGAGAGAAAGUUGGCUAUGGCCUGAUUGACAAAGACUUGAGUCUUUUGGUCAAAAACGUUACGUUUACGAAUUUGCGUCGUUAUUCUUCUUCUAAGAACUAUUAAGGUCUUCAGGCGAAGUCUAAAACCAAAUAAAGGAGCCGUUUGGGAUAAUUAGGUAAAGUUAAAUAAGCGAGUCUUAUUUAAAAUACGAAUACAAAAUUAAAUAAGGCUCAAGUUUGGUUAACUUUUUUGAUAUAUAUAUUUUUAUCUGUUUCAUUUUAAAAUUGUUGGUCAAAAUUUAUAUUUUUUUUUCUUGUCUUGAAUUUAAAGACGUCUGAAAAAUGUUAAAAAUUUCAUCUAAUUUAAAAAAAAAAAGUUUACUAUAGAUAAAAAAUAAAAUUUUUACUAUACAAAUUACUUAUUUUUUUGUCGUAUGUGAAUUUUUAAAAAGAAAUGAACAAAAAAAUCAAAAAAUUAAAAAAAAGAUAUUUAAACAGUGAAAGAAAGUUCACCAAAAAUUAAAAAAAUCAAAAAUCAAAACUAUUAAAAAAUCUCAAGAAAUAUAGGCAAAACUGGGUUAAGUUUUUUGAACUUGAAAUUUUUGUUUGGAAUAUUUGGCUUUUGGAUACAACCUUAAAUAGUAUUCCACACGACAAUACACUUAUCACUUGAUAUAUUUCACAUAGUAUAUGAUCGGCUUAUAAUGUCACACACUAACCAUACUAAAAUAUAAUGCCACAAAAUAUGUUAACGUGAUAUUAUUUGUCAGAUGAGAAAAAUAUUGUACUAUUACAAGUUAUAAAGGAAAUAGCAACAGAUCACGCGACACUGACAAUUUUAAAAUAAAAAUAUAUAAAUAGUAGGUAAAAGUUUAAAACAGCCACAUCAGCAUAAUUUAAAAAUCUUUAUAUAUUUCUAUGUUUAUAUUAAUUACUCAAAAAAAAUUAGAGCCAAAAUACCUUCCAAUUGUAGGAGACUGGUCAUACCUAAUUUUUCCUGUUGUGGGGUCCAUCAUUUUACCCGUCUGCAAGACGAGUCUUCAGCUAAUGUCUUGCUUUUAACAUACCAGUUUUUUUGAGAGCAUCUUACACUUCGGUGAAUACAUCUACGUAGCAACAAUGUGUGCAAUAAAAAAUUUUACGAUUUGAAAAAUAUUACGAUAAUUAUGAUU